rnacentral:ncRNA from 1 species
AUUCUGGAAAGGAUGACCACAGAGGGUGACAGUCCCGUACAGGUACGGUGGUGCAUGAGUUGAGUAUCCUGAGUAGGGCGGGGCCGGAGAAACCCUGUCUGAAUUUGCGGGCACCAUCCCGUAAGGCUAAAUACUCCUGAGAGACCGAUAGUGAACCAGUACCGUAAGGGAAAGGUGAAAAGAACCGCGAGAAGCGGAGUGAAAAGACCCUGAAACCGUGCGCCUACAAGCGGUCGGAGUCCCGAUUUAAUCGGGAUGACGGCGUGCCUUUUGCAUAAUGAGCCUACGAGUUACUCCUCACUAGCGAGUUUAAGGUCUAGAGGACCGGAGGCGGAGCGAAAGCGAGUCUUAACAGGGCGAGAGCUAGUGGGGGUAGACGCGAAA